rnacentral:tRNA from 1 species
GAUAAAAUGGCUGAGAUUAAGCGAUAAAUUGUAAAUUUAUUAACGAAAUUGUUUUCUUUUAUCA